CCCCCCGCCCCGGAGUGGGAAAAGACACAUCCAGGCUGGGAGCUCUGGGCAUUGUCCUCAGAUGGGCACAGAGCUGGAUCUCUAAGGAUAGCACAUCUUCGGAGUUUCGGUUGCCUGAGGUCAGCGUGCCUGGUCUGAGAGCAGAUGACCCUCCUGACUGUCAUCGGAAAGUGAGUCGUAGCCUGACACUAUGUCACAAUGCCUACAAUGCCUAAAUGCCAUUCAUCUGGCUUAAUCUCACCGUGUAGGCAUUUUAUCAUCUCAUACCAUCACGGGAAGAAGGCUUCAUGACUUCCUGGCCACGCGGAGACCUUCAUCUGAGCCCGCGGAUCAUUUGUAGAAGUGAAUCUAGAAGAUGGAUCCAGAAGCAGGCCCCAAAGCCAUCUGUGGGGGCAGGACUGCAUUUCUGUGUGAUCUGUUGGGGCUUCCAAGAUCCUCGCUUUCUCGCCCAUGACCGGGGGAGAGGUGGGUCAGGUUUCUGGGCUAGACACUUCCCCACGCAGAAAGUCUGGUUUGGGCUAUGUGCUCUGGGAGGCUGACUCAGAGCGCCUACCUGCAGCCUCAGUGUCCCUCCUCUGCUCCAUCGUUAAGUGUCCAUUGGAUAUCCAGCUGAGCAAUCGAGACUCAAUGUACCUGAAGCCACAUCUGUCUCCUGACCCCUGGCCAGCUCCCUCUGGGCAUCCAGCUGUGCUGGCGAACAACUCCGGUUUCUUCCAAUCACGCCAGCUUGAAAUUGCUGAGUCGUGCCUCGCAUGUCCCUCUGUUUCAUUUCCCACAGCUAACCAGUUAUCAAAUCAUUUCAAGUUAGUCCCCCAGCCAAUCAGGCUGUUAUCAGCUCCUAUUUGGACUAUUGCCAGGGUCUCCCCUUUGUCCUCUCUGCCUCCAGCUACCCCCUCCUGACCAGCCAGUUCACCUUCCUAGAGUACUGCCAUGUGCUCAUUGCCCCCCUCGGCCACCCCCCACCCCUCUUUGUUGCUCCCUUCAGCCACAGCUCCCUCUCCUCUCUUCCACAGACUCUGCUCCAACCUUCCGGUCCCCUCUCAGUUCCCAGGACGCUGUGCACACUCCUGCAACCGUACCUUUGCUGGGAUGGUUUCCCUUGCCUGGAAUCCUUUUCCCCAUUCCAAAGUUUUACCUAAACCCUAGCCGUCUCUCACACCAUAUAACACUCCUGGUUUUGAAAACAUGCUGAGCAGGUGGGAGAAGAGGGGAGGAGGGAGCUAGAGUUGUUAGCAGUUUGCUAGAGGUAGAGAAUUUAGUUCACCUUUGGGGUAGCCUUUUCUUUGGGGAAAAGCAGCGUGAACCUGAAACCAUGUGGUCAUCAUCAGCCUGAAUGUUGUGGUUCAGCAAUGUAAAUAGCCAUCCCUAGGGAGAGAGGGAGCGCCUUUACAUUCCUUUUUCUCCUAAGGUUUGAGGGGAGGAAUUGUGGAGGAAGGGGAAGCCUAGACUGGUCCCUGUGUAGGUGACUUGGCUAUUUUCAGCUCAAGUUUAGAGAGUUAUUUGCGGGGCGCCUGGGUGGCGCAGUCGGCUAAGCGUCCGACUUCAGCCAGGUCACGAUCUCGCGGUCCGUGAGUUCGAGCCCCGCGUCGGGCUCUGGGCUGAUGGCUCAGAGCCUG